UACACUGCAAGUCGACGAUGAAGCCCAGCUUGCUGGGUGGAUUAGUGGCGAACGGGUGAGUAACACGUGAGUAACCUGCCCCUGACUCUGGGAUAAGCCCGGGAAACUGGGUCUAAUACCGGAUAUGACUUUUGACCGCAUGGUUGAGGGUGGAAAGAUUUAUCGGUUGGGGAUGGACUCGCGGCCUAUCACCUUGUUGGUGAGGUAAUGGCUCACCCCGGCGACAACAGCUAGUCGGUCUCUGACGGUGACCGGCAACACUUGGACU
rnacentral:rRNA from 1 species